UACGUAGGUGGCGAGCGUUGUCCGGAUUUACUGGGCGUAAAGAGCGCGCAGGCGGCUGGUCAAGUCCGAUGUGAAAGCUCCCGGCUUAACUGGGAAAUUGCAUCGGAAACUGAUCGGCUGGAAGGUGGGAGAGGGUAGCGGAAUUCCCGGUGUAGUGGUGAAAUGCGUAGAUAUCGGGAGGAACACCAGUGGCGAAAGCGGCUACCUGGCCCAUUCUUGACGCUGGGGCGCGAAAGCUAGGGGAGCAAACGGG
rnacentral:rRNA from 1 species